CUGCAAGUUUCGCUUUUGUCUGCAUUGUUAGAUUCCACUUUCCUUUUACGAGUUUUCACAUUUAGUGUAUUUUAAUAAUGUUGUAUACGAAUGACAUUAUCAUUCUACUGAUAACUGUGUUUUUUUAACUUAUUUAAUGGAAGUUCUCUAAAUGACAAAGUAAUGUUCAGCACGUCAGUCAGCUUGUUCGUCAUUUCAAUGUUUGUAAUAACAAAGUAUGUUCAUGCAUCAUUCAAUACACUCGAAACACACAGAUUUCUUCUGUUGAUUACCGUAGCUACGACAAUUUCGUGGAUUUUGGAAUUAACCAGAUGGUUGAUAAGAAAGAUAUUCAACGUGGAGCAAGGGAAUCAGAACAGACAUUUCAACCAUUAUUUGCUUUUCGUUGAAAGUGUUUUGUUUUCCAUUAUCUUAAAAUUGGCAGAUUCGUACUUUGUGGAAUAUUUGAAAGGAGAAGAUUACGAAAUAGAGAAGAACGACGCUUCUUUGUUACAAUAUUGUGCCCAGAAUCAUGGACAAGAUUCAUUAAUCGACGUUUUGUGGUAUUCGGAAGAUUAAUUUGAACUGUUUUAAUCUCCGUAUUUAAUCACGUUACCAUACAGACAAUACAUAAAAUUCAAUGACCAAUUUUUUCUCUGUAAAUUUUGAUUGCAGAUAAAUUAUAUUUGUGUACUUUCAUGUUGCUAUAAUUUCUAUUUUAUUC